rnacentral:rRNA from 1 species
UAAUUCUAGAGCUAAUAUUUCUGAGAAAGCCGUGACUCACGAAGCGGCGGAUUUAUUAGAUCAAAACCAACCUGUCGCAAGACGGUKACUUUGAUGAAUCUGGAUAACUUUACUGAUCGUACGACCUUAGUGUUGACGACAUAUCUCUUGAAAAGGCUGACCUAUCAACUUUCGAUGGUAAGAUCAAAGCUUACCAUGGUUGUAACGGGUAACGGGGAAUCAGUGUUCGAUUCCGGAGAGGGAGCCUGAGAAACGGCUACCACAUCUACGGAAGGCAGCAGGCGCGCAAAUUACCCAAUACCGGCUCGGUGAGGUAGUGACAAAAAAUAACAAUGUGAGCCCUAGUGGUUUCAUAAUUGCAAUGAGAACAUUUUAAAUACUUUAUCAAGUAUCAAUUGGAGUAUAUAUUCSAUGCUCUUUAAUGGGGUGUCGGGUGUAACCGGCAAGUUUACUUUGAAAAAAUUAGAGUGCUUAAAGCAGGCUUACGCUUGUAUAUUGUUGCAUGGAAUAAUGAAAUAGGACUUCGGUUUUAUUUUGUUGGUUUUCGAAACUGAAGUAAUGAUUAAAAGAGACUGCCGGGGGCAUAUGUAUGCUGGCGGGAGAGGUGAAAUUCUUAGAUCGCCAGCAGACAAACUACUGCGAAAGCAUUUGCCAAGAAUGUUUUCAUUAAUCAAGAACGAAAGUCAGAGGAUCGAAGACGAUCAGAUACCGUCCUAGUUCUGACCAUAAACUAUGCCAACUGACAGUUAGCGCUGGUAGUAUUUACGUCCUCGCUAGAAGUCACCGGGAAACCUAAGUCUAUGGGUUCCGGGGGAAGUAUGGUUGCAAAGCUGAAACUUAAAGGAAUUGACGGAAGGGCACCACCAGGAGUGGAGCCUGCGGCUUAAUUUGACUCAACACGGGAAAUCUCACCCGGUCCGGACACUGUGAGGAUUGACAGAUUGAUAGCUCUUUCUUGAUUCGGUGGGUGGUGGUGCAUGGCCGUUCUUAGUUGGUGGAGCGAUUUGUCUGGUUAAUUCCGAUAACGAACGAGACUCUGACCUGCUAACUAGUACAUUCGUGUUUAAUCGCGAGUGCUGACUUCUUAGAGGAAUAAGUAGCUUUUAGCUAAAUGAAAUAGAGCAAUAACAGGUCUGUGAUGCCCUUAGAUGUCCGGGGCCGCACGCGCGCUACAAUGGCAGUACCAGCGAGUUAUUAUCCUGGCUAGAAAUGGUUGGGUAAUCUGCUGAAACACUGUCGUGUCAGGAAUAGUGGUUUGAAAUUUUCCCACUUGAACGAGGAAUUCCUAGUAAGCGCAAGUCAUUAGCUUGCGCUGAUUACGUCCCUGCCCUUUGUACACACCGCCCGUCGCUACU